UUUCCGUAGGUGAACCUGCGGGAGGAUCAUUAAAAAAUGUGGUACCAUUUAUUGGUACUAAUUAAUCAUCCUACCCUUUGUGAAUUUGUUUGUAUGAAUUUUUUUAAAUGGGUCUUUCCCUAAGUUGGAUUGUUAGUAAAAUACAAAAAGACUUAGGGGAAUGACUUUUUUAAAAGACUUUUUUUUAAAUUAAAACUUUUUGUAUUCAUUUGUCUAAAAUUUAUUUUUAUAAUAUAAAAACAACUUUUGACAAUGGAUCUCUUGGUUCUCGCAACGAUGAAGAACGCAGCAAAAUGCGAUAAGUAGUGUGAAUUGCAGAAUACGUGAAUCAUCGAAUCUUCGAACGCAUAUUGCACUUUUUUAGUUUACUAAAAAAGUAUGUCUAUUUGAGUAUCAGUAAAAUAUUCUCACAAACAUAUACUGUUUGUGGUUAUGAGUGUUUUACAACGAUAAACAAGUUGUUUCACUUUAAAUUCUUUUAUUGAAGUUUUUACCAAUUUCAAAUUAAAAUUGGAUAAAAUUUUCCUUUAACGAGGAAUAACCUAAACAAUUUUAAAUUUUUGGUUUAUAAACAUCAUAAAGGAAUCUAUACAUAAAUAACUUGAUCUCAAAUCAGAUAAGAGUACCCGCUGAACUUAAGCAUAUCAAUAAGCGGAGGAAAAGAAACUAACAAGGAUUCCCUUAGUAACGGCGAGUGAAGCGGGAAGAGCUCAAAUUUGAAAUCUUCAAGGUUUGACCUUGACGAAUUGUAGUUUAUAGAAGUGUUUUCUGUUGGAGUUUGGUAAAAGUUCUUUGGAAUAGGACAUCAUAGAGGGUGAGAAUCCCGUAUUUGACCAUGACUUUCCAGCUGUGUGAUACACCUUCAAAGAGUCGGAUUGUUUGGGAAUGCAGUCCAAAAUGGGUGGUAGAUUUCAUCUGAAGCUAAAUAUCGGCGAGAGACCGAUAGCGAACAAGUACCGUGAGGGAAAGAUGAAAAGAACUUUGAAAAGAGAGUUAAACAGUACGUGAAAUUGUCAAAAGGGAAGCGUUUGACACCAGUGUUGUUUUCUCGAAAAUCAAUUUAAUGAGUUCUUGUUUUUAAGUUAUUGUGACUUUAUCAGCGCAUUUCUUAUUUUACUUGACUCAUUGAAUGCACUUUUCGUUUAACAAGUCAACAUCAAUUUCUUUGGUGGUAAAAAGUUUAAAGGAAGGUGGCUUGGACUUCGGUUCAAGUGUUAUAGCCUUUUUUCUAUGCCAUCGGAGAGAUUGAGGUCUGCAGCGUAGAUCCUUCGGGGUUAGAUACCUUUGUGCUAAGUUAUAGUUUUUUAUAGACAACUUGUUGACUAUAAUUAACCCUGUAAUUUACUCGCUUAGGCUAUUUUACCUACGCUUAGAUGUUG
rnacentral:misc_RNA from 1 species